AGUGAUCAUUUUCUAAUUUAGAGCAUAUCACCAUGGAUCUCCAAACAACACGUCUUAUCUCCUAAGACCACGAGCUCACGCUGAUAUACCCCGGUUCCGGCGACAUGGCUGCAAUCUUCUGUGGUAGGUGACUACCGAUGGAGGAGAGCGGUAACUGGUGGUGAUGAUACAUGACGACUCCGGAGGAAUGAGGGGAGAUACCUCACGGUGGUGGCCGGUGGUGAUUGAUCUUGCAGCACGUCUCGUCUUGUCUUCUCGGACACAUAUGUGAAGAAGAGAAGAAACACAUGUGAUGAGCAAGAGACAUGGAAGGAAGGGACACAACGAACAAGGUGAUGAAGAUGGUGUGAGAUGCUUGACGGCGUGUUAUCAAUACUAUUAAAUUAGGAACAUGUCUUAUUGAUAUAUGUUUAGUCCAACUUAAAAUCUAAUUACAUAAGAAAAUACAUUUUAUUCUAUAUAUUUUGUGACCACCAUUUCAGUUCCAUAAUAAUAGGAAGCCACUAAUCAUUCUUUCUUUUACUAAUAAAUAUAAAUACUACAUUUUAUCAGUUACAAUUGUUAAAAACAAUCUCGAGGCCCCAAUAAAAACAUAAUAAAAAUGUGCUAUUUAUAUUUGAUUUACUAAAAAAGGGUAAUGAACUUACAUAAGUAAACAAAAAAAUGAUGGGGGCAUGAAGCUAAACCAUAAAUAUGUUUAAAAACAAAACAAAGAUCAGAAUUAUAAAUGGAUACAGUUAAAAUGAGAAAAUAUAUAUAAUAAUUUUGCCAAGAAAAAAACAAUAUAUACUUUUUAGUUUUGAUCACCAUUUUCUUCAUUAAAAUUAAACGAUAUAGUAAAAGCAUUAUCAAAAUUUAAAGAAUCACAAAUCAUAUAGUUUAUUCAAAUUAAUUAUGUACCAUUAAAAAUAUAUCAAAAGUUGAAUCAUUUUAAAACAAAUAUAUUCAGAUUUAUAUGGAUUUUUAUCCGGUCAACCAGUGUCGAAUUGCGAGUUAGUAACAGACUUUAUGAUUUUUACGGAUAUAUCUGAUUUUUAAAUAUCAAAUUUUAACUAAAUCUGAACCAUACUAUAUGCGGGUCACCAAAUUUAUCGGUUCGACCGCGGGUCUAGAUAGAAUUCAAAAAAAUUGGUAAAACUAUUAAAACCCCUGCAAAUAUAUAUUAUUGAUUUAUUCUAAAAUAUACAAAGUAAAUCUUAUGUCUCAUAAAUUCAACAAAUUUAAUUCUUAUAAAAUACAUAAGAAAUAUAAAAUAAUGUUGUGAGAUAAGAAUAUACAUACAAAAUCUCAAAUAAAAAAAUUGAUACAUUAUGUAAUUUUAAAUAAAAAAAUAUGCCCGCCCUUUUAAAGGGCGGGUCAUAAUCUAGUUAAAAUAAUAAGGUGGCUGGAUUUUUAUGAAAGCAUGUAUAUAUAUAAAUACAAAUACACACGGUUAGGUUUAGGAAUUAAAAUGGUUAGCUUUGGUUUAGAUAAAAAUUAUAAUUAAAGGAAAAUCAAACCGGUUUAGAAAAGAAACCCGGGUCACGGUCGUUACAAUUCUUCCCCACUUAUUUGUCCCGAAUUCUAAAAAGAACUAGAAAGGAACUUUAGCAACUACGAAGGAAAAAGAACAUAAGAUAAAUCAAAUAAUGGAAAGGAAUUGAAAGUUGGUCUUCUCCUGCAAAAAUAUUAGAGUUCGAAAUGAUAACAACUAACCGAGUGGUAGUGGACAGAAAGAUGUCACUUUUUUCUCAAAAACACCCAAUCCCGAAACAUUAAAAAUUUCUGAAAUCUGUGUCCCAUAAAUCGCCAUUCCAAGUCGGAGCCGGGACGGAACCCCGCUUUGAUACCAAAUUGGAACACUCGUCUCUUCCUCUCUCAAGAACGGCAUGUUAUUACCGAUAAAAUAUCGAAUUAAACCGUUUUAUUCAAAAACGAAUAAGAUACCAAAAUAUUUAAUAAAAUAAAUGCAAAAGAAAUACAUCCCUAAAUUUAAUUAUAAAAAUAUGUCAACUAAAUCGAAUGUAAAACUGAAAUAAAAUAUGCAAUCUCCAAAACACCAAACCGUCCAGAUAUCCAACUACUCGGCAAGCUCACCUGCAAUGGAAAGAAGAGGGGUGAGCAACAUGGGAGGAGUCACUCAGUGAUAUGGAAUGCUAAACCGUAAACCAUUGACUCAGUACAUAGCACUAAGACUAUGUAGGCCUAACUGUAGCAUGAAACAACCAUGGUGCCUGGUACACCUCACAGAACAAACAUAUGCCUAAAGCACAAUACAAACAAUGCGCUGAUAGUACAAGCUACUCUAUGCACCCCGCAUUUCCUCAUAAGGAUAUAUGUAUAUCACCAGGCGUACAGUAGUCCAUCUCUGCACAUCCACAAUCUGUGCGUCGGCGACUGAUACGAACGUCUUUGUGCCCCCACAAUCUCACUGCUCGUCGGCGGCUUAUACAAACGUCUUUAUGCACCCGCAAUCACACUGCUCAUCGGCGGAUUACACAAACGUCUUUGUGCACCCGCAAUCACACUGCUCGUCGGCGGCUUACACAAACGUCUUUGUACACCCGCAAUCUAUACAAACGGACUUAUAUAUUUAUACAUAUAUAUAUAUAUAUCAUUUUUAACAUCACUCAUUUCAAUCAUCAGUUGAAUCCUCUAUUGUCAUAUUUCCGGUUUAACAAUCAAUAAUAAUAAUAAACAAAAAAGACUCUCAAUCAGACUCGACUCACAGAGACGAAUCAUGUUUCGAAACUAAAUUUUCCAUAAUAGUAGUACUAGAUUAGCUCGGGAUUAAACGGAGUAAGCAUCACCUUAGUCAAUACCGGAGAGUCGAAAACGGAUCGGAAAACAAUCGGGAUAGCUUGAUCUCCAAGAAAUUAGGGUUUCGCCAUGGACCUCAAUCUUCUCGUAUUUGAUCACGUUCUCUACAUCACCAAUCUCGUACGUAUCACGAGGAUGAAACCAUGGAUCUCCAAACAACACGUCUUAUCUCCUAAGACCACGAGCUCACGCUGAUAUACCCCGGUUCCGGCGACAUGGCUGCAAUCUUCUGUGGUAGGUGACUAGCGAUGGAGGAGAGCGAUGACUGGUGGUGAUGAUAAAUGACUGCUCCGGAGGAAUGAGGUGAGAUACCUCACGGUGGUGGCCAGUGGUGAUUGAUCUCGCAGCACGUCUCGUCUUGUCUUCUCGGACACAUAUGUGAAGAAGAGAUGAAACACAUGUGAUGAGCAAGAGACAUGGAAGGAAGGGACACAACAAACAAGGUGAUGAAGAUGGUGUGAGAUGCUUGACGGCUUGACUCUCUC
rnacentral:lncRNA from 1 species